rnacentral:rRNA from 1 species
UACGUAGGGGGCAAGCGUUGUCCGGAUUUACUGGGCGUAAAGAGCGUGUAGGCGGCCAAGCAGGUCAGUUGUGAAAACUGGAGGCUUAACCUCCAGACGUCGACGGAAACCGCGUGGCUAGAGUCCGGAAGAGGAGAGUGGAAUUCCUGGUGUAGCGGUGAAAUGCGCAGAUAUCAGGAAGAACACCAAUGGCGAAGGCAGCUCUCUGGGACGGUACUGACGCUGAGACGCGAAAGCGUGGGGAGCGAACAGG